ACAACUGGUUGAUAUUCCAGUACCACCAUGUUCGCGUCCGUCCCAAUACUCUGUUGCUAAGGGGCUGUGUUGACUUCGGUCAACGCGAACCGACCCACAUUGUUGCGGGAAGCUGUAGGGGGACGCAGGAAGGUAGAUGAACCCGGUGAAUGGUAGAACCGGGGUAAGCGUGUAGGAGGAGGACCAGGUAAAUCCGGGCCUCAUAAACUCUGAGACGUGAUACCGAGCCGCUUCAGGCGAAGUCAUUGAUCCUAUGCUGCCUAGAAAAGCCCAGCAGCGAGUUGACAUGGUGCCCGUACCCCAAACCAACACAGGUGGACAGGUAGAGCAUACCAAGGCGAGUGGGAUAACUAUGGUUAAGGAACUCGGCAAAUUGCCUCCGUAACUUCGGGAGAAGGAGGACCCCAGUAGCGUGAUGAGACUUGCUCUCUGAGCGUGAAGGGGUGGCACAAAAUUGAGGGAAGCGACUGUUUACCAAGAACACAGCAGCGUGCUAAGCCGUAAGGCGCUGUAUACGCUGUGACUCCUGCCCGGUGCUGGAAGGUUACGGGGAUGGGUUAGUCCUUCGGGACGAAGCUCUGAACCUAAGCCCCAGUAAACGGCGGCCGUAACUAUAACGGUCCUAAGGUAGCGAAAUUCCUUGUCGGGUAAGUUCCGACCUGCACGAAUGGAGUAACGACUUCCCUACUGUCUCAACCAUAGACCCAGCGAAAUUGAAGUACGAGUAAAGAUGCUCGUUAGCUGCAGAAGGACGGAAAGACCCCGUGGACCUUUACUAUAACUUGAUGUUGUGUUUUGUCAUAUGUUGUGUAGGAUAGGUGGGAGACUUGGAAGCAUGGACGCUAGUCUGUGUGGAGUCAUCGUUGAAAUACCACCCUGCAUAUGGUGAGGCUCUAACCUAGACCCGUUAUCCGGGUUGGGGACAGCGUCAGGCGGGUAGUUUAACUGGGGCGGUUGCCUCCUAAAGAGUAACGGAGGCGCCCAAAGGUUCCCUCAGCCUGGUUGGCAAUCAGGCGUUGAGUGCAAUGGCAAAAGGGAGCUUGACUGCGAGACCUACAAGUCGAGCAGGAGCGAAAGCUGGGCAUAGUGAUCCGGCGGUUGCGUGUGGAAGCGCCGUCGCUCAACGGAUAAAAGGUACCCCGGGGAUAACAGGCUAAUCUUGCCCAAGCGUCCAUAGCGACGGCAAGGUUUGGCACCUCGAUGUCGGCUCAUCGCAUCCUGGGGCUGAAGCAGGUCCCAAGGGUUGGGCUGUUCGCCCAUUAAAGCGGUACGCGAGCUGGGUUCAGAACGUCGUGAGACAGUUCGGUCCCUAUCCUCUGCAGCCGGAGGUGAAUUGAGGAAAGCUGUCCCUAGUACGAGAGGACCGGGACGGACGCAGCUCUCGUGUGCCAGUUGUCCUGCCAAGGGCAUGGCUGGUUAGCGACCUGCGGAAAGGAUAACCGCUGAAAGCAUCUAAGCGGGAAGCCUCUUCCAAGAUGAAUUCACCCACAGGGUUAACCUUGUAAGGCCCGUGGUAGACCACCACGUUGAUAGGCCGGAAGUGUAAGCGUGGCAACACGUUCAGCUGACCGGUACUAAUCGGCCGAGGGCUUG
rnacentral:rRNA from 1 species